UUAGAUUGCAGGUAGAGAUACGCUGUAUACUCGUGUAGUCGAAUUAGCGUUUAAGCGAUAUGUAAUUUCGCCCCCCGCGAGGCCGCCUUUUAUGGGGGGUUUUUUUAUAG
rnacentral:ncRNA from 1 species